UUAUAUAUAAGUACACUGUAGCUGUCUUCAGAUACACCAGAAAAGGGCAUCGGAUCUCUUUACAGAUGGUUGUGAGCCACCAUGUGGUUGCUGGGAAUUGAACUCAUGACCUCUGGAAGAACAGUCGGGUGUUCUUAACCACUGAGCCAUCUCUCCAGCCCAAAAUAAGCCCUUUUACCUCAAGUUGGUCUUGCCACAGCAAUGAGAAAAGCAAUCAAAUCUCAAAGUCAAACUUCUUGAACUAAAAAGUCACUGCUGUCUAUUUUUUCCAACUUUAACAAGGUGGUAAUGGCACACACCUUUAAUCUCAGCCUUCGAGAGGCAGAGGCAGGUGGAGCUCUGUGAGUUUGAGUUCGAGGCUAGCCUGCUCUCCAGCGUGAGUUCCAGCACAGUCAAGGAUACACAGGAAAACUGUCUUCAAAAAAAAAAAAAGUAUUUUUGCCCUUGUGUCUGCACACAAGCACACAUUCAUAUCACAGUGGGUGUGUGGAAGUCAGUUCUCUGCCAGCACAGGGUGGGGUCUAGGAAUUGAAUAUCAGGCUUGGCAGCAAGCACCAUUUUCCACUGAGCCAGCCCACUGCCCCUGCUCUUUCCUCACUCUGGUCAGACUCUCUCACUGAGGUUGAAAUCUCUUCUAUUGAAGUCAUGGAUACCAAGUCAUUGUUCACGGAAGGCUGUGGAAAGAUUGUGCACUUUUCUCGCUCAGCUGCUGAGUGAGCCUGCGCCUGGCUGACGUCACGUCACUUCCUUUGAAAUUCUCUUGGCCGCCAAGAUCGUAAACUCCUGUCAUUUCCUUUGCGUCCUGUCAUGUCCUUACCAGCUUGUUUCUGCCUGUUCUCACUUGUCCUUGCCAGUCUCUUGCUACUGUGUACUCUCCAAGGAGCUCUUCUUAGUUUUUUCUUUUAUGUCAUUGCUGUUUUCUCUGUGUGUAUGUGUGUGGGAGGGUGUCAGAGCCCCUGAAACUGGAGUUAUAGACAGCUGUGAGCCACCAUGUGGUUGCUGGGAAUUGAACCCAGGUCCUCUGGAAGAGCAGCCGGUGCUCUUAACCUCUGAGCCAUCUCUCCAGUCCAACGGGGAUGUUAUUUUUUUGUUUUUGUUUUGUUUUGUUUUAUUGUUUUUUCUCUGUGUGUAGCUCGAUGUGGAACUCAUUCUGUAGACCAGGCUUGCCUGCCUCUGCCUCCCUAGUGCUGGGAUUAAGGCGUGUCACACCGUCACCUGGCUGACCCAGGUGUUCUGAACCCCUCUAGUGGCUUCAAUUAUCAUCAGUCUUUGAAUCUUUUCUAGCCCUGACCUCCUCUCUGUGCUUUCAGGGCUCCUGUUGCCCAGUAUCCAAAACUCUCUCUGCGGAUGUCUUACCCUGGAGGAUGAUGUCCUCCAAUGUAUUUCCCUUUUCCAGGAUCACCUUUAACGUUCUCAGAGAAGUGGGCAGGAACUCAAAUGGAAGCCCACAUAUUGUGUGUCAGAGAGGUUGAACGCUUAGACAAUGGUCUUUCUUACUCUGAUAAAUAAGUCUUUGUAGUGACCUAGAAGAGUAUAUUUAAAUUUAGGAUUAUUGUACUUCCUAGAGUGUUGGGCUAGGAUGUGAUCCCUUAGGAAGAGCUAAGUCCAGUGGCCCCAACCACUACCCAUUUUUCUUACCAUCUGGUCUUGGUCCUGUACCACAGUGGGCCUGGUAUACAUGAUUUUUGAGUACCUACAGCCCAUGUGUUUAAGACAUGUUCAUGGGGUUGGGGAUUUAGCUCAGCGGUAGAGCGCUUGCCUAGGAAGCACAAGGCCCUGGGUUCGGUCCCCAGCUCCGAAAAAAAAAAGAACCAAAAAAAAAAGACAUGUUCAUAUCUCCCCAACGAAAUUUCCUUCUGUAUUCCUUCUGAAUUCAGUUACAUCAGAGCCCUGACCAGAGCUUAAAGGAACAAGGUGGUGUUAGAAGGAGAAAUUAAAGCCUGAGUCCAUGAGAGCAAAUGAAGACUGACCUCGUGAUAAAAGCUAGUCACAGAAACAGGCUGUGGGAAUCAUCUGUUAUCCCAGCGCCUGAGAGGCAGAGGCAGGGGAGUCGGGAGUUCAAACUUUGCUUGGGCUACAUGAAACACUGUAUCAAAAGCCAAAAAUCCAAAAGAAAGAAAAGAAAAGAAAUAAUCUGUUGUAAUAAGAAGGGUGACAGAGCACAGUGGAACAUGGGAAUUAGAGCCACUGAGGUAAAUGGGAAGGAUCCACCUUGACUGGUCCUGAUGGUGGCAGACUGUGCAUCUUGAGACCUGGCACCAUCAGGCAGCCCCCUUGUCCUGUCAGUCAGAUAUACUCCUGAUGCUGUAUUUAUCACUUCUUUUUCUUAUUUUAUUUUAUUUUAUUUUAUUUUAUUUUAUUUUAUUUUAUUUUAUUUUAUUUUGAAACAGGGUUUCUCUGCAGCCCUGGCUGUCCUGGGACUCACUCUAUAGACCAGGCUGCGCUCGAUCUCAGAGACCUGCCUGCCUUUGCCUCCUGAAUGCUGGGAUGAAAGGUGUGUGCCACCAACGCCCUGCUAUUUAUCACCCUUUACAUCCAGUGGUCAGGAUUUAUCUUUCUCACUACACUGGAAUGGGUUCCUGUCCGCUUGCAGUUCGUGCUAUGGUCUCCCACCUGAGUGACUAGAAGCGUCUUCAUGCCCCCUUCCCCCACCCCAAACUGUUGUGCUUCCUCCCAGGAGCUGGAACGAUCUUUCUGGGCACAAAUGUGGCUACUUCCUGUUAGAAAUCACAAGCCUCGGCCUAUGGCUUUUAAGAGCAAGUCCUUAGCCUCUUAAUAUUCACAGUUGGUUGUGAUCUGACCCAAGCUGACCUCUCCCUGACCCCUAACAUGAACAUUCAAUAUACAGGAACCACAGCACUGUCAGAUACAUAGCAUCCACACAAGCUCCCACAGCACAUACAUCCACGCAUAACAUGCAUCCACGCAUAACACAGCAACUCACACAUUUUUUUAAACAGCCACAUGGAAGUAAUACAUAUUUACAACAUACUCUCCUCAGAGAGUACAUGCUAUGUUCUCCCAAGCUCAUGUGUGUUCUCCACACAUGGUCACACACGUAUGUACUCACAUGCACACCAUGUACUUUAGUUGCACAUGCCAACACCACGUACCCCACAUCCAUUCAUCACUUCAGGCCCUUGGGUACCACACACACUCUUACGCUUCUGUCUAGUUCUCGCUCCCGUGGCACUAAGACCAGGUCUUUGUCCACACUAUGCUUUCUACUUAGAAUGUUGCUCCCUGGCUUCAUUACUGGCUGUCUGAACUCCUCCAUAAAGAGAUGAAAUACUCCAAGGCUUUCUUUUUUUUAAAUUUUAUUAAUUUUAUGUGUAUGAGUGUUUUGUCUGCGUGUGUGUCUGUGCAUGACAUCAGUGCCUGGUGCUCGAGGAUACCAGAAGGGAGUGUCGAGAACUGGAGUUACAAAUGGUUGUAAGCUGCCAUGUGGGUGCUGGGAGUCAAACCCAGGACCUCUGCAAGAGUACGAGGCUGUCAACUACUGAACCAUUUCUCCAGGCCCAAGGAUUUAAAAUAUAAACCUAAAAGCCAGAUACAGUUGCAUGCAUUCUGCACUCUGGAGGCUGACAGAGAGAUAAUCACUUUGAGGCCAACCUGGGCUACAUACUGAGUUCAAGACCAGGCUAGCCUAAAUACUAAGAACCUGUCUCAAAAUCACAAGGGCCAGGGGAGAAGGCUCAAUGCAUAGAAGCACUGAAUACAAGCAUGAAGACCUGAUUUGGGUCACGAGAACCUGUGUAAAAGCCAGACAUGACGGCACGUGUCUAUAAAAAGACAGAGCCUGUAAGCCACGGACUGGGUAGCCCCGAGUGAGUAUACAGUGCAGUGGCAGAAACAAGAGGAACCCUGACUCAAACAAGAUGAAGAUGAAGCCCAGCACCUGAGGUUGUCUCUGACCGGCACGCGUGCCGUGGCAUGCACAUGCCUUCACAUACAGACUCAUACACAAGUACGCACUUAAAAGAUGAAUUGAAAGGAGUAAGACCUAAGGUGUGAAGUAGGAAGCUAGCACCUAGCUUGCUAGACUACGGAGCUUCUUAAAUGCUGCCCCUCUUCUGUGUGUAUUGUUUUGUCAACCUGACUGGGUUUUGUUGCUGUUGUUGCUGUUGUUGUUGUGUGUGUGGUUUGUUGUUUUGUUUUGUUUUGUUUUGAGACAGGUUUCUUUGUGUAGCCCUGGCUGUUCUAGAGCUCCCCCUGUAGACCAAGGUGGCCUUGAACUCACAGAGAUCCACCCCUGCCCCAUUUUUUUCGUCGGUUCUUGUUUUCAUCCUGUUUCCUUAGUUACUAAUGAUACAUUUAAAACUGGAGGUGCACCAAUGCUUAUGGGCAUGGCUAGGGAAAUGGAGCGUGUCCGCUACAGCCAGGCUCACUGGUAGGAAACCCAGCCAGAAAGGAGCAGGCUGAGGAACGUACACCACCCGGAAGGAUGUCAACCUCUCAGUCCAAGGGUUCAAGUUCUCAACCAGAAGUUAGUCUAGUUACAGAUUAACUGCUGAACUUUCUUUUGGUUCUUCCCCCCCCCCCCCCCCCCCCGAGCUGGGGACCGAACCCAGGGCCUUGCGCUUCCUAGGUAAGCGCUCUACCACUGAGCUAAAUCCCCAGCCCCUGAACUUUCUUUUCUUUUUGAGACAGUGUCUUGUGUAAUCUAGGCCGGUCUUGACAUCUCUGUGUAGUGAGAAUGACUUUGAAUUUCUGAUCUCUCUGCUCGGGGCUUGUGCAAUCAUACCCAGUUUUAUGGUUAGGGAUAAACCUGGGACUUCAUGCAUGCUAAGCAACCGACUGCACUUCCAGCCCCGACCCCCGGGAGAGACUAUUUCCAGGGAUUAAUUAGGCCUCCAGGAUCCUGGAAAGCUAUUUUCACUUGUAGGGCUGGAGUGGUGCAGUAGGUGGGUUGCCCGAGGGUGGAGGGGCAGGGCUUAAAGCCAGAACCUGAGCCUGGGAGUCGCAGUGAUUAACAUGAGUCAGGAGGUAGAUAACCAGCUUGGCUUGGGAGCUCAGAGAGAGAGACUCAGUGAGGGUUAUUAUUCCCAAAUGCCACGCAGAGGUGGAGAAAGCACUUAGGAUGUUACUCAUAACCUUUCCAGAACAGUAUUGCUGGGGUCGUUGCCAAAUUGAAGAAGGUCUAAACAGGCAGAGCAAAGUCCUCCUCUUAGAUAAGAGAGAUUUCAUGCCUCAUUGGGAACAGAGGGAGAGGACAAGCAGGGAGGGUAAGAUGAAGGUCUGUGACAGAGGGCGGGUCACUGUGGGGUGGAUAGGCUAUAAGCACACAUCGAAAAUCACGGGUGGGAAAGGACACAACCUCUAGGACAGGAAGGCUUGUGUAGAGAGGGAGCUAUUAUAAAUAUAUUAAUUAUAUUAUAUGUUAAUAUAAUAAACAUAUUAAUAAUAUGUUAGUGUUUCCUCCUUUGAGUACACCUUAGGAUCUGUAUCAGUCAGUGUCUAUAGUCAUGCCUUGGGAAUGUUACACCCCCGGAAGCUCUCCCCCUGGUAUCCUCCAUGCUGACCCCUCCUUGCUCACAGCUCUCCACCUUUUCUGUACUCCCUUUCUAUCUCUAUACUUGGCUUUGUAGCCUCUGUCAUCCCUUGGUGUCUGAAUGUCACCUCCCUCUCACCUCAUCCCUGGGCUCAGCAAGGGUCGUCAGUUCAACUACGUUUCUGUGAACACUUACAACCUUGCGGGUUCUCUUCUCUCACUCUGAUUUGGAUAUCUCUAGCCCCUGGGGGCUAACAAAUCCUAAAUCUCAACUUUAGGUCCUGGUUUCUCUCCUCGGCAUCUGGAUUCCUUCUGGCUAUCAGAAAACGGAGAGGAAGAUCCCGUGCGGAUGGUGGGACUUGGGAAAGGCUGAAGGCAAGGGAGCUCCAGCUGUCCCUCCCCACUGUCCUUAUACCCAGGCCUCUUAUAGUUACCCUGUUGGGAAGGGCCUGCGGCUGCCUCACAAAGCCCGCCGAUGCCAAGGCCACCUGCCUGAGUCUUGAUCGCAGAUUUGAGCUCGUGAUUCUCCCGGAUGAGCCGAACCAGCUUCUUCAGUUCUUCAUUUUCCCGCACCAGCCUCUCAAUCUGAUGCCGAAGCCCCUCAUAAUUUGCUCAGCUCUCUGCGCCUCCAGGCCUGUGUGUUGCCUUACCUCAGCCUGAAGUGUCCUGACAAGAUGAGUCCUAUACCACAUCACUUGCCUCGUGGCCGUGCAGUUGGCCCCUCGGUGCCUUCCAAAGGAUGGUCGCCAGCGAGCGUAGUGACUCUUCCUUUGCACCUGAUCUCUUCUCCUCGGGUCCUUGAAUCUUCCGGAGUUCCAUUCUCUCAAGGAUCUAAAAUAAGACAUGGUGGUGAUCCAGCAGCACCAUCUGUCACUCUACGAUCGCCAGGGUUGAGUCAACUUGGCUGAUCUGGCCGGCUAAGCAAGUACCCAUUCCAUCCUCCUGAAGAAGUCCAUUUGGUAGAAGGCAACCUUCUCCCAGAGGAGGAGCGGCGUUCAACCGAAGAUGCACAAGUCGCUGUGUUCCUCCGCUACGACUUCCGAACAAGAACUGGAGCGAGUCCUCCUCACCUGGCUUCAAGAGAUGAGGACUGAGUCCUCCUGACAUGCCCUUCUUCUAGAGCUAUCUAGAAAGAGUGCCAUGGGCCUGAUCUUGGGAGUCAAUGGAACCUAAUCCUCAAGACCUCCACUGGCUCUGUGGUCAACUUCUCUCAAAGCUCUCCAUGGGUCAGGGAGAGGAAGAACUCAGCCUGUGUGCUGCCUCUCCGGUCCAUAAACUGGUCCAUUCCCAUCAGACCUGUUACUCCAGCAGCAGUGCUUAAAGCCGCACCUGAUCCCUGAGUUAAGUGCUGUGGGUCUGGGCCAGCAUCUAUCAGGGCACCUAUCUAUCUCUUCAUGUUGCUGUAGGGAUAAUAACAUCCUUCCUCUCGCUGUCCUUGGAAGCACUAGAUAAGGUAAUGGGGGUAGCAUGGCAGCACUCUCUGCCGGAAACAUUUUCUCAUUAAACUGUAGAUCUGGAACCUGCCAGUUCCAGGCACAUGAUGUGUUCUGGGGAUAAUCAGUGAGCAACCAGGCAUCUGAAGCCUCAUUCUCCCUUGUUUAUUCCACAGGAACUGCUCAUGGAGCCUCGCUGCCGGAAGCUCAGGGGGACACUUGAGCUCCCUAGCCCAAGUCCCUGCUUGUAAUACUCUCCCCAUCCUGGCUGGGAGAAGACAGAAGAGCACAGAUGUUAGACAGGCUUGACAUGUUUUUCUAUUUACCUCUGUGUGGAUGUGGGCGUGGGCCUGCGCAUGUUCAUGUGGAGAUGAGGGAGGGACAAAGACUGUGGUGUAAGACUACCCUCUAAUUCCCUUCACCUUAGUCAUUUGAGACGGGGUGUUGGCUGUCUUUAACAUAAGCUUGAGUCGUCUGGAAAAAAGAGGGCACCACUUGAGAAAAUGUUCCCACCAAGUUGCCUAUGGACAAGUCUGAGGUGCACUUUACUGACUAGGGAUUUAUGUGAGAGGCGCUCCCCAGGUGGUCCCAGGGGUGUGUAAUAAAGCAGGCUGAGCAAGCCUUGAAGAGCAAGCAAGAUGGCUUCCACAUCACUUCCUGCUUUCAGGUUUCUGCACUGAGUUCCUGCCCUGACUUCCCUGGAUGUGGACUACAAGGUGUAAGCGAAAAUAAAACCUUUGCCCUCCAA